GGUUGACCUCAGAUCAGGUAGGAAUACCCGCUGAACUUAAGCAUAUCAAUAAGGCGGAGGAAAAGAAACCAACAGGGAUUGCCCUAGUAACGGCGAGUGAAGCGGCAACAGCUCAAAUUUGAAAUCUUGGCCUCACGGUCCGAGUUGUAAUUUGUAGAGGAUGCUUCUGGCGACGUGCCUUCCGAGUUCCCUGGAACGGGACGCCAUAGAGGGUGAGAGCCCCGUCCGGUCGUGCACCUAGCCUCUGUGAAGCUCCUUCGACGAGUCGAGUAGUUUGGGAAUGCUGCUCUAAAUGGGAGGUAUACGUCUUCUAAAGCUAAAUACCGGCCAGAGACCGAUAGCGCACAAGUAGAGUGAUCGAAAGAUGAAAAGCACUUUGAAAAGAGGGUUAAAUAGUACGUGAAAUUGCUGAAAGGGAAGCGCUUAUGACCAGACUUGGGCUCGGUGAAUCAUCCGGCGUUCUCGCCGGUGCACUUUGCCGUCCCAGGCCAGCAUCAGUUCGCGCCGGGGGACAAAGGCUUCGGGAAUGUAGCUCCCUCGGGAGUGUUAUAGCCCGUUGCGUAAUACCCUGGCGUGGACUGAGGUCCGCGCUCUGCAAGGAUGCUGGCGUAAUGGUCAUCAGUGACCCGUCUUGAAACACGGACCAAGGAGUCGUCUUCGUAUGCGAGUGUUCGGGUGUCAAACCCCUACGCGUAAUGAAAGUGAACGUAGGAGAGAGCUUCGGCGCAUCUCCGACCGAUCCUGAUGUUCUCGGAUGGAUUUGAGUAAGAGCAUACGGGGCCGGACCCGAAAGAAGGUGAACUAUGCCUGUAUAGGGUGAAGCCAGAGGAAACUCUGGUGGAGGCUCGCAGCGGUUCUGACGUGCAAAUCGAUCGUCAAAAUAUGGGCAUGGGGGCGAAAGACUAA
rnacentral:rRNA from 1 species